rnacentral:pre_miRNA from 1 species
AGUAGAAUUACUGGGUCACAUGGUAAGUGUAUAUCUAACUUUUAAAGAAACUACAAAGCUGUUUUACAAAUUGGUCACACCAUUUAGCCUUCCCACCAGCAGU